CUGAAGAUCCAACUCCUCCUGAUGAGUUACCCAUAGCUAUUCGCAAAGUGAUUCCAACUUCUUACCAAGAGGCACUCAAACACCCUUUAUGGCGAGCCGCUAUGGAUGAGGAGAUGCGAGCUCUCUUGAGUCGUGGUACUUGGAUAUUGUAUUGAUCGAUACAAAGCUCGGCUUGUGGCCAAAGGGUACACACAAACUUACGCUUGAUGUGAAGAAUGCUUUCUUGUAUGGUGAUUUGACUCCGACGGUCUUUAUGGAGCAACCUCCGGGUUAUGUUGCUCAGGGGGAGGAUGCUACUAAGGUU